AAGUCGUAACAAGGUCUCCGUUGAUAAACCAACAGAAGGAUCAUUACCAAGUUACAUGCUCAAACAACCCUUCUGUGGACCUGAAUUAAACUGUUGCCUCAACAAGUAGUCCUCUAUCAAAACCCCAUAUGGAUGUGGACAAGGGAUCAGACAGUCCGGUACGCUUAAGGCAUCCCAGCAUCAGCCGCUGGUCCUAAACAAUUAAACUCUAGUAACUUUACUUUCUAAGUUUUAAUACAAAAAAUAAGUCAAAACUUUCAACAACGGAUCUCUUGGCUCU
rnacentral:misc_RNA from 1 species